rnacentral:rRNA from 1 species
GAUGAACGCUGGCGGCGUGCCUAAUACAUGCAAGUCGAGCGAACGGACGAGAAGCUUGCGUCUCUGAUGUUAGCGGCGGACGGGUGAGUAACACGUGGAUAACCUACCUAUAAGACGGGGAUAACUUCGGGAAACCGGAGCUAAUAGCGGAGGAGAUUUUGAACCGCGGGGGGCAAAGGUGAGAGACGGUCUUGCGGUCACGUAUAGAUGGAUCCGCGCUGUAUUAGCUGGUUGGUAAGGUAACGGCUUACCAAGGCGACGAUGCAUAGCCGACCUGAGAGGGUGGUCGGCCACACUGGAGCUGGGACACGGUCCAGACUCCUACGGGAGGCAGCAGUAGGGAACCUGCCGCAAUGGGCGAAAGCCUGACGGAGCAGCGCCGCGUGAGUGAUGACGGUCUUCGGAUCGUAAAGCUCUGUUAUUAGGGAAGAACAUAUGUGUAAGUAACUGUGCACAUCUUGACGGUACCUAAUCAGAAAGCCACGGCUAACUACGUG